AGGAAAUACAACAAAUAUGAAGAAGCAUUUGAACACAGCAUGGAAUUAAAUGACAGGAGUGUCAUGUGUUCGAUGCAGCAGCUCAGCUAACGUCGGCGCUUCAUCUCUUUCUGUCCAAGGCAUCCUCCACCCCAUCUGAGAGAGUGUUCUCCACGGCUGGAGACACAAUAAGUCCUGAGAGAUCGCGUAUCCUCCCGGAGAAAGCAGACAUGCUUAUAUUUCUGCACAAGAAUUGUUGAUGAUCCAUACAAUUGAUGGUUGCACACUUGGUAUUUGCCACUGCUAGUUUCAUUUUUGGCAGCUCAGUUCAUAUACCCUUUAAAAAAAAGGAAGGAGCACUGUAAUUUCGAGGAACAUGUUUAAAUUAAACAGAAUACAUUUUAUUUAAGUUAUGUAAGUUUUAUUUUAAGUUCAAGAGUAAUAUCGUAUAAAUGUUUUUGGUUAUUUAAAAAAAGUAAAUGUGUAUGUAUACAUACUGUGUGUGUGCAGCAUUAUAUAAAAGAAAAUUAAUGUGAAUAAA